UCGACAUGUGUAGCGAGGUCCAAGAAUGAAGACCACCCAAGUUUUUUCUAGCGGACAACUCCAUUGAUACAAAGCUUUUUCUGGUCUCUGUUAUGGAGAGGCACAUACAGAUGUUUUUGAAGAGGCUCUCGUACGUCUCCAUAACCAUAGGCACAAUCACCUUCAUCCUCCUCCUGCUCAAAACUCCAGACACCUGCGUCGCACCAGAUUCGCCCCCAAAGCCCCAUCUCCGCUUUCCCAAAUCCUCCUGCGACUCCUCGCCUCGCGAGCUCCUCCCUCUGCACAAGAAGAACAAACGGCUCUGGUCCACCAAGACCUGGCAGAACAAAGUCCAGUCCUUCUCCAACUUCUUUCGCGCAUGUUAUCAAAUGGGUCUCCUGCACAACGACUCCAAGGUCCUCUGCGUCUCCGCGGGUGCCGGCCACGAGGUCAUGGCCCUGAACCAGUUGGGCGUCGCCGACGUCACCGGAAUUGAGCUCCUCGAUUCGCCUCCUCUGGUGAGCCGGGCCGAUCCCCACAACUUGCCCUUCUUUGACGAUGUGUUUGAUUUGGGUUUUAGUGCUCAUUUCGCAAAGGCUAUGUUUCCGAACCGGUUUGUGUCGGAGAUGGAGAGGACUGUGAGGGCUGGUGGGGUUUGUGUGGUGGUUGUUGACGAAUGUGGGGAUGAGGAGGUUAGGGAGAUUGUAGAUUUGUUUACGAAUUCAAGCUUUCUUGGUGCGCUUAAUGUUACUUUGACUGGAUUGAGAAUGACAAGGAUUAUUAUGAAAGUUCAGCAUUUACCUUGAUUUUUGUUGUAGGCUCGUAAGUUAUCAGUCUUGAAGCGUUGGAUUUGAGAAUUCGGACCUGGACAGAGUUUCACAGUUUGGUACAUCUGAAUUAACUUGAAUGGGUAAGAACUUGAAUGGAACUGGAUUAACUUUAGAAGUGUUGUAAAGAGUAUGGGAUUGAGUGAAUGGUUUCACUCUCAAGUUUCCUGACAUGCAUUGCGGAAUGUGAAUUGGCCCGAAGAACAUUGAUGAUAACAUCUUGUUUGGUGGCUUGAUAAUGAUCAAUGCCAAUGGCUGCGUAUCAUUCAUAUCAAUAUCUGGUUUUCUUUGGUCGACUUAGUUAGAGGGUCUUAAGUUAUCAGUCUUGGAGCAUUGGAUUUGUGAAGUUGGCCCUGGACCGAGUUUCGCAAUUUGUUACGUCUGAAGUUGAUGAUUCAUAAAAUGCUUUUGAAUUGGCUUCCUUCCCUGUUGUUUCACACUCUAAUCCCUGGAUCUUCUCCUGCUGUUCUGUAAUGGCCUGAUGAUUUUCAAAUCAAGUUUUGAAUGAUUCAGUAAGGAAUUUAGAGGACGAAUGAUUGUGUCCAAGGUGUGGCAUUUUCUAGUUUAGAGGUUUUUAUUACCUUGUUGAGGAGAAAAGAAUUCAGGCAUAGUGGAAUACUCAGAUUGUGUAGUAGCCAACUGAUUGAUUGACAUAAAUUGUUCUUCCCCCCCAACCUUUACUCUACCAAAGCCUUAAUUCCGGCUUUUGUUAAUUUGACCGAAUGAUGUGCCGAACUCGUACUUUUAGCAGGUUUCAGAUUGUGUUCUGUGCCUGUCAUUCAUGAAUUACUAGUAGCAUUCAUCUAACACAAAAGCUGAAAACUAUAUAUGAGUCUUAUGUCAUUGCAACUUACAGUCUUAAA